rnacentral:rRNA from 1 species
AUUGAACGCUGGCGGCAGGCCUAACACAUGCAAGUCGAGCGGAUGAAGGGAGCUUGCUCCUGGAUUCAGCGGCGGACGGGUGAGUAAUGCCUAGGAAUCUGCCUGGUAGUGGGGGAUAACGUCCGGAAACGGGCGCUAAUACCGCAUACGUCCUGAGGGAGAAGGUGGGGGAUCUUCGGACCUCACGCUAUCAGAUGAGCCUAGGUCGGAUUAGCUAGUUGGUGGGGUAAAGGCCUACCAAGGCGACGAUCCGUAACUGGUCUGAGAGGAUGAUCAGUCACACUGGAACUGAGACACGGUCCAGACUCCUACGGGAGGCAGCAGUGGGGAAUAUUGGACAAUGGGCGAAAGCCUGAUCCAGCCAUGCCGCGUGUGUGAAGAAGGUCUUAGGAUUGUAAAGCACUUUAAGUUGGGAGGAAGGGCAGUAAGUUAAUACCUUGCUGUUUUGACGUUACCAACAGAAUAAGCACCGGCUAACUUCGUG